rnacentral:rRNA from 1 species
UACGUAGGGUGCAAGCGUUGUCCGGAAUUAUUGGGCGUAAAGAGCUCGUAGGCGGUCUGUCGCGUCGGCUGUGAAAACCCGGGGCUCAACCCCGGGCCUGCAGUCGAUACGGGCAGACUAGAGUGCGGUAGGGGAGACUGGAAUUCCUGGUGUAGCGGUGAAAUGCGCAGAUAUCAGGAGGAACACCGGUGGCGAAGGCGGGUCUCUGGGCCGUAACUGACGCUGAGGAGCGAAAGCGGGGGGAGCGAACAGG